CACGUAGGGGGCAAGCGUUGUCCGGAAUGAUUGGGCGUAAAGGGCGCGCAGGCGGCCUCUUAAGUCUGAUGUGAAAGCCCACGGCUCAACCGUGGAGGGACAUUGGAAACUGGGGGGCUUGAGUGCAGGAGAGGGGAGUGGAAUUCCACGUGUAGCGGUGAAAUGCGUAGAGAUGUGGAGGAACACCAGUGGCGAAGGCGGCUCUCUGGCCUGUGACUGACGCUGAGGCGCGAAAGCGUGGGGAGCGAACAGGAUUAGAUACCCCGGUAGUCC
rnacentral:rRNA from 1 species